GCUCAUUCACCUCUUGCCUUCAUUUGUGAAAGGAAGAAAGACUGGAGAGGGUCAAUGUGCAACUGAAGCUACUGAUUGUGCUGUGUGAUGAGCAUCAAUCCAUGCUUUGAGGGGGAUGAAUCAGCACAGCCCUGCCUGCUCUGCGUUGGGAACAAAAGUUGCAUCCAGAAUUUUUGCAUCAUUCUGGACCAAAAAGCCAUUCUCUCCAUGAUGAAGACCACUGAUGCAGCCUUCCACUACUGUACAGUAAAACAACUACAGAACUAAAUACCAGGUUGGAACGUGUUUAAGAAAAAUGAAACGUCUUUUGAAUUGAAAUGUCUGUUUUGUUAUGGAAAAAUCUUUAGUAUUGUGAAGGAUAAGCAUUUCUGCUUGCCGAUAAGGUAAUUGCAUGUAUUUUAAUGUUCAAGUUUUGAGUAGGGUAGCUAACUUUUUUUAACUCUUAUUUGAUAUAUUAAAGACCUUAUAUUAUGUGGUUUUCAUGUCACUGCGCUGUGGUAUAAGAUAACUUUCAUUAUUCCAUACUGUAUUCUGUUUCUAAUUGUAGCUGAGGUAUUUAAAUAAGCAGUGUUAAAUGCAAAGUGUUGUGUGUAUCAAUGUAAAUAUUAAAUGUGAUUUACUUGAAUAAAAAGAGGUUUUGCAAUA